GCCCUAUUGACAGCUUGAAACUGGCAACUGAUAGUGAGAAUCAGAUAGGGC
rnacentral:sRNA from 12 species